AGACGGGACCCGCACAAGCGGUGGAUGAUGUGGAUUAAUUCGAUGCAACGCGAAAACCUUACCUACCCUUGACAUGUUCAGAAGUCUUGAGAGAUUGAGAUGUGCCCGAAAGGGAACUGGAACACAGGUGCUGCAUGGCUGUCGUCAGCUCGUGUCGUGAGAUGUUGGGUUAAGUCCCGCAACGAGCGCAACCCUUGUCGUUAAUUGCCAUCAUUUAGUUGGGCACUUUAACGAGACUGCCGGUGACAAACCGGAGGAAGUGGGGAUGACGUCAAGUCCUCAUGGCCCUUAUGGGUAGGGCUUCACACGUCAUACAAUGGUCGGUACAAAGGGUUGCCAAGCCGCGAGGUGGAGCCAAUCCCAGAAAGCCGAUCGUAGUCCGGAUUGCAGGCUGCAACUCGCCUGCAUGAAGUCGGAAUCGCUAGUAAUCGUGGAUCAGCAUGUCACGGUGAAUACGUUCCCGGGUCUU
rnacentral:rRNA from 1 species